GGUUUAGUUAAGUCAGAUGUAGAAACGGCCCGGGGCUACCAACCGUACGGUAAUUGCUAUUUAGAAACGUGGACAAACUAGAGUACUGUAGAGGGGGUAGAAUUUCAGGUGUAGCGGUGAAAUGCGUAGAGAUCUGAAGGAAUACCGGUGGCGAAGGCGGCCCCCUGGACAGAUACUGACACUCAGAUGCGAAAGCGUGGGGAGCAAACAGGAUUAGAUACCCUGGUAG
rnacentral:rRNA from 1 species